AUAGAAUGGCGUCUCCCUUCCCUCUGGCAACAGUAAUCGAGAGACAGUGAUGAGGAACGCAAGCUGAGAGGAACAAAUAUCUACCUCAACGAUGACUUGUGUGCUGCCUCCCAAGCCAUCAAAAACGCCCAGAUCCCCCAGCUGAAGCAAGCAAGAGCUCAGGGGGAAAUAGCCUAUUUCAGACAUACUAAGCUCAUUGUUAAGGAUCAACCAGUUCGAAGUUCUGACCAGCCCAAGAAUGACGAGUCACUGAUUACCGGACUUGGAAAGAUGACUACCCAAGGACAUUCAAGCGACGUUGCUGCUGACGGUGGUGUUGCCCAGGUGACUACUCCUAUUGAUGCUGCUACGGCGAGAGAUGACAGCUGGAUGGACACAGCAGGAACUAAUGAGAAGAACCGGGAUGCUGCCUAUUCUUCCCUCCCCACCACCCGUGGCGGGAAUACCUCGGGGAGCUCGCACCCCAUCUUCAUCCCAGGCCCAGGACACCAGCACAAGAAAGAGCUCGAGAAGAAAUAACAACAAGAAGGUUGCCACGUAGGCAGGGGUGACGUCAGCAACAAGGGCGGCAUCGAGUGACUGGAGCGAGGCAAGGGAGGCAAGGAGCGAGGCCUGGAAUCGAGAACACGUCAGAUACUUCGCCACCACCACACCUGCCACCUGUUCGCUGUCUCACUGCCAGUACUCGUCCAUAGUUGUGUUGUGACCCAUCUACGUAUCUUGUUAAGUAAAGAGAAAAAAAAACAAGAUUUGUUUCCCUGCUGCCUGAAGCUAUCUAGGCAUUAUGGGGGAUAAAUUUGGCUUGAAGUUGACCCCCGAGUUCGAUGGCAGUGGUACGCAGGCUGUGAUGGAAUGACUCGAGAAUCUGGAUUUGGUCUGCAAGCUUCUAGGUGUCGACGAUGUAGCAGAUGUGGUUCUACUAGGUCUAACGGGAGGUGCGUUCGCCGUUGUAACGCUCCUUUUUAUUAUUUCUGUGUUUCUUUGAGUCUCCACAAUAAUUGUUUUCUUUUGUAGCUUGCGGUGAAGAGGAGGAUAAUAGCGGUAAUUAAAGGUUUAGUGAUUAUAUGAAAAAGUAUAUUUAUAAGGCGUGUAUUCGUGGGAGUGAUUUAGAAGUCUUGAAACAUUUGUUAUAAAUAGUCUUUACUUAUUUCAACUGUGGUUUUCUCUAAUCAGUGGUAAUACGAAUAAUAGGAUUACAUCAUGUUGCGUCAGCCUACCAGUAACUCAUAAGGUGUUAUUCCCUAGCUUAUAAAAUAUGUUAGUAAUUUAGAAUUCAAUUAUUAACUUCAACUAAUGUCCAGCCUAUAUGCUCACCUUGCUAGCCAAUUAUUCCUGCAUUUUUAUUUAAACUCACGGUUCAGUAAAAUUAUUUGUGAAAGAAGAGAGAGAGAGAACUAGCUAAGGUUCCAAUAACUUCAGAGGCCUGGGGGUGGGUGUUGAAGGGGAGAGCACAGAAUGGCGUCUCCCUUCCCUCUGGCAACAGGUGGGUCUCGUAGCUCUGAAAUAUUUGAUUUUUCUUUUAUUUAGAAGUGAAUAUUACUGUGUUCAUGUUUAUUAUUCAUGUCUCUAGUGAAGAUAUAGUGACUGUACGUGUUGACAGAAUGGCGUCUCCCUUCCCUCUGGCAACAGAUAAAAUAGCCGGUGUUGGUCCCACGUGGAGACAGGCCACAGAGUCUUGGGAAAGUGUUAGCCAUGUAAUGUUUCUUUAGUCAAAUACAGUCUACUGUGAAUGUGUUGUGAGCAAUAUUAUUGCCGUAGAGAAGUGAUGGAUGAAGGCUGUGACGCUAUUUAGGGAUAUAACGGUGCCCAGAAUCAAUGGUACUCUUGAGGAGUUAUAAAUGUAAUUAUUUUCUUGUGUAUUCGUAGUGUUAAGUAACGGAGUAUAAGUGUAUAUGCCAUACCAGAAUUUCAAGUGCCUUUUUUUUCUUUUUUUUCUAGAUUAACCACUCGAUAAAGUGUCAUAGUCGGUCAGUCAACCCAAAGAAUCCCAUCAGUAUUAUUCAUUUAAUUAUUUUUGCUAUUUUUAUAUUUUUCGUUCCUCAUAAUAAAGCCACACUGUAGGUACUGUGUGAUAAUUAACCUCUCCCUACCCUCUGGCCAUGACGAUGAAGGCGAGAACCAUUACCAAUCAAAAAUGUUUUUUUUUUGUGUGUGUGUGUGUGUGCGUGCUUCACCUCUUCUCUCUUCCUCUUCUUUUUUCUUCUUCUUCACCGUGAAGAUCUUUGCCUCGUCUCAUUAGAGCUCUGAUCGGACCGGUGACGAGGAGGGAGGAGGGGGGUACCGGAGGGGGGGUGGCAUUACACUGGUGGCAUAGCGGUGGGAUUCGCUGUAGUCUUGGCCAGUCAUAUUGGGAGAGACAGAGUACUGACAGUUGGGUAAUAUUAGGUCAAAGGUAUAUCCUCACCAUCAUAGAUCACUUCUCUAGGUAUGUAAAAUUUUAUCCUCUAAAAACAAAACAUGCUCAGGGUAUAGUAGCUAAGCUUUCCCAAUACAUCUCUGACUUUGGCUGGCCACUCUCCAUCCUGUGUGACAAUGCCUUGGAGUUCACGGGACGAGAACUAAGAACCUGGGCUGGUCUUCAUGGGAUAGAACUGCUCUACACCACUCCCUAUCACCCCCAGUCAAACGGACUCAUCGAGAGAAUGCACCGGACCCUGAAGACCGUGCUGUCCCAAAUGUGCAAGGGUUACCCUUUAAGGUGGCCCGCCCUUCUCAGUGAAUGUCAGUCACACAUGAAUCUGGCAGUACAUAGCAGCACGGGGAUCUCUCCAUAUGUAGCAUUCUUCGCAAGACAGCCACCUCGUUUCGUCACGGAGCCUCUCCUGACGGUGCAGUCUGAAGAUAGUGACGUUCAGCAACUUAAGCGCAUGAUUAAAGACGCUAGUGUGACGUCACAGAGGAGGUACCGUGCAGUGGCGAACAGAAAACGACGUGAUGAAAAGGUCUCAGUUGGGUCCUUGGUGUGGGUGAAAUCAGAAACUCCGUUGCCUGGUACCUCUACCAAAUUGAAUGCUAAGUGGAAAGGACCAUAUCGAGUGAGUGAGGUAAUCAGGGACGGUCAACUGUAUGUAGUGGAGGACCCCUAUUCUGGGAAGUUAGUACAAAGAGCAGCAGAAAAGGUGAAACCGUAUGUGAGCCGGAGUGAAAUUAUUCCGGAGUUGGAGGAGAACUAUUCAGACGGAUGUGUUGAGGAGGAGGAGGAGGAGGAUCAAGACCUCCCUCCCCGCCGCCGUCGAUCUCCCAGACGUCUUAUUGAGGAGUGCUAAUGUGAUGCACGAACUCAGGAGUGAGGAGAAGUGAACAGUGUUAUAAUGUAUAGGAUGUGAGGGUUAGGAAUGAAGUGAGUUAAGAGCAGGAAAUCCUCAUCCGUCACAAGUGUUCGAAGGUCAGUGACACUGUCUCAGCCACAAAUAGAGUGGGGCAUUUCGGGAAAGUCGUCCCCAAAUUCUCGUCGUGUCGAAACAGUUCAUACCAGAUGGUAGCUUAUGUGUUUCAGUUCGGGGAAGUGUACCCCAUUCUUGUGGGCUUUAGUUCGAGAAGUGAGGUUUCCAGGGAACGUCGUACUUGGUUACUUCCUCCUCAAGUUACAGUCAUCACCUCUAACGGGUCCUAAGUUUCCCUUGAGGACGUAUUACCCCAGUCUUCGUUGUAGUAAGAGGAAUGAUUUGUGUGAAUGUUGGCGAAUGUGUCGAAUGCUGCGAAUGUAAUAGAUUAUUCCUUUUCUAUGAGACGGGGAAUAAAGAGAGUGACGGAGUUAGUCAGGUGACUUCUCCAUAGAUUACCCGUAGAGCAGAGGGUGACUGGGGUCCAAGUUCUCUUUUCCUGUAAGUAUUCUGUAUGUGAAAGGUGUUGGUACAAUUUCCUACAGGAAGAAAUAUACGAGUCAGGUGACUCAAGGGUAAGUGGUUGAGUCAGUGUCAGCUGUUUAGUAGACCUUAUGUAUUGAUAGGAUAGGGAAAGUGUAUAGGUAGGAUUUUGCAUGUAUUCUUCACCGUGAGUUUAACUCUGGGAGAAUGGGCAUGUGUAACGCUCCUUUUUAUUAUUUCUGUGUUUCUUUGAGUCUCCCCAAUAAUUGUUUUCUUUUGUAGCUUGCGGUGAAGAGGAGGAUAAUAGCGGUAAUUAAAGGUUUAGUGAUUAUAUGAAAAAGUAUAUUUAUAAGGUGUGUAUUCGUGGGAGUGAUUUAGAAGUCUUGAAACAUUUGUUAUAAAUAGUCUUUACUUAUUUCAACUGUGAUUUUCUCUAAUCAGUGUAAUACGAAUAAUAGGAUUACAUCAUGUUGCGUCAGCCUACCAGUAACUCAUAAGGUGUCAUUCCCUAGCUUAUAAAAUAUGUUAGUAAUUUAGAAUUCAAUUAUUAACUUCAACUAAUGUCCAGCCUAUAUGCUCACCUUGCUAGCCAAUUAUUCCUGCAUUUUUAUUUAAACUCACGGUUCAGUAAAAUUAUUUGUGAAAGAAGAGAGAGAGAGAACUAGCUAAGGUUCCAGUAACUUCAGAGGCCUGGAGGUGGGUGUUGAGGGGGAGAGCACAGAAUGGCGUCUCCCUUCCCUCUGGCAACAGGUGGGUCUCGUAGCUCUGAAAUAUUUGAUUUUUCUUUUAUUUAGAAGUGAAUAUUACUGUGUUCAUGUUUAUUAUUCAUGUCUCUAGUGAAGAUAUAGUGACUGUACGUGUUGACAGAAUAGCGUCUCCCUUCCCUCUGGCAACAGAUAAAAUAGCCGGUGUUGGUCCCACGUGGAGACAGGCCACAGAGUCUUGGGAAAGUGUUAGCCAUGUAAUGUUUCUUUAGUCAAAUAUAGUCUACUGUGAAUGUGUUGUGAGCAAUAUUAUUGCCGUAGAGAAGUGAUGGACGAAGGCUGUGACGCUAUUUAGGGAUAUAUCGGUGCCCAGAAUCAAUGGUACUCUUGAGGAGUUAUAAAAGUAAUUAUUUUCUUGUGUAUUCAUAGUGUUAAGUAACGGAGUAUAAGUGUAUAUGCCAUACCAGAAUUUCAAGUGCCUUUUUUUCUUUUUUUUGUAGAUUAACCACUCGAUAAAGUGUCAUAGUGGGUCAGUCAACCCAAAGAAUCCCAUCAGUAUUAUUCAUUUAAUUAUUUUUGCUAUUUUUAUAUUUUUCGUUCCUCAUAAUAAAGCCACACUGUAGG